AUAUUGUGACAUUGAUAUAUAAGACCACCACCUAUGGCGACCUAUCCAAGGUGAUUUUCUAGCACCUUUCAGAUAGAGUUUCUGUUUCAUACGUUUCUCUCUCUCUUCAAAGUUCAAACCCUUCAUCAAUUUCAUCUUAGCUCCUUAUUCAUUCAUUCUCAAUACAUCUUCUUCAAUCAAUAAUUUCCUUUCCAUUAUAAAUUAUUUUUCUCUUUCCCCCUCUAAGAUCUUGUGCCCUUCUCCUCAGAUUUAUUUAUUCUACUAUAUAUCUUUCCUAAUAAAUCUAACUCUAUAUAUAGAGAGAGUUAAAUUUAUGAUCAAUAUGUUCAAGAAGAGACAAGAUCAGAUACAUACAUAUAUGCAGGAGAAGAGUGAUAUACAAUUAAUGGUCACAAAACGUUGCAAAAGAGGAUGAUAUACAAGUGUUUGGACGUUGAGGAGAUUAUAAAUGUUGACAGAAGAGAGAGAGCACAACCCGAGAAAUGGUCAAAGAAUCUUUUACCUUUGUUGGGAGUGUGCUUUCUAUUCUUUUGUCAUCAUCUUUGUCUUUGUUUAUAUGGUAUACAUCUUUUUUUCUCUUAAUAAUCACUACUAUAUAUCUUAAUUACCAUUCAAGCCAACUAGCCAAGGUAUGUAAUGAGGUUAUAAAUUUUCUUUCUACUAAAAUAGUGAGAAUAAAAUCGAGUUGAGUUGAUUUAGUGGUUAGUUUACUAGUUCGAAUUCUGUUUUGUGCAUAAUGCAGUAAUUUAUUGGCCAAUAAUAAACCUUUAAAUAAAGAUCAGUACCACGACAGAUUAAUUUUUAACUUGUCGGGAUAGAAGAUAAGUAUUGAAAAUUAAUUUUUAAUUAGUCAAUAAUAUUAAUUAAUUAUUUUUUUCAUUAUAAAAUUUUAGUGUACAAAUAAUAUUUUUAUUUUAGUAUAUGUGUAUUUAUAACUAUUAGAAAGUAUGUACGGUGCAAGAAGCUAAGAAUGAUCGAGAAUGAUGAUGGUGAUGGAGCAGAAUCAAAUCAAGCAACAGCAACAUGAAAUUAAAGUCAAUUUCUGUAAUUUGGCUUUUUCAGAAAGACCAAUAUUUGUGCCAACCUUUCAUGUAUACGGUCGCUACUUUAGGAGAAAAUAAGGAUCUGAUCUGAUAAGAUAAUGUUUAUAGUCAACUUUUUCUUUUAUUGGUUUGUGGAAAUUAAUAUCUGCUUUAGAGAAAAUGACUCUUAAAAUAUCUUCUUCUAUUUAUUAAUAUUAUUGUACAAUAUUUCUUG